UACCAAUGGUAAGGACACAUACUCAACAACUCCUUAAACCUCUCCCAAGCCUGAUACAAAGACUCACUAUCCUUUUGUGCAAAGGAGGAGAUUUUCCUCUUUAAAGCA